rnacentral:rRNA from 1 species
AUCUGGUGCUUGCAUUGGAUCUGGAAAGCGGCGAAAGGGAGAGUAACGCGUAGGGUACCUGCCCUCAGGUCUGGGAUAGCGGCGGGAAACCGCCGGUAAUACCGGAUAAUGUCCCCGGACCAAAGGUGAGAUUCCACCUGAGGAUGGUCCUGCGUCCUAUUAGCUUGUUGGUGGGGUAAUGGCCUACCAAGGCGUUGAUGGGUAGCGGGCGUGAGAGCGUGGCCCGUCUCACUGGGACUGAGACACUGCCCAGACACCUACGGGUGGCUGCAGUCGAGAAUCUUCCGCAAUGGACGCAAGUCUGACGGAGCGACGCCGCGUGCGGGAUGAAGGCCUUCGGGUUGUAAACCGCUGUCAGUGGGGUGGAAAUCUUCAGGGGCUAUCCCCUGGAGUUGACCUAACCGCAGAGGAAGUCCGGGCUAAGUACGUGCCAGCAGCCGCGGUAACACGUACCGGACGAACGUUAUUCGGAAUCACUGGGCUUAAAGAGUGCGUAGGCGGCCUAAAAGGUGGGGUGUGAAAUCCCACGGCUCAACCGUGGAACUGCGCUCCAAACCGUUAGGCUUGAGGGAGACAGGGGUGAGCGGAACUGAUGGUGGAGCGGUGAAAUGCGUUGAUAUCAUCAGGAACACCGGUGGCGAAGGCGGCUCACUGGGUCUCUUCUGACGCUGAGGCACGAAAGCUAGGGUAGCGAACGGGAUUAGAUACCCCGGUAGUCCUAGCUGUAAACGAUGAGCACUAGAUCGUGGGGACCUCCACAUCCUCUCGGUCGUAGCGAAAGUGUUAAGUG